AGUAGUCAUACGCUCGUCUCAAAGAUUAAGCCAUGCAUGUGUAAGUGUAAAUAUACUAGUUUGGAACUGCGAAUGGCUCAUUAUAUCAGUUAUAGUUUAUUUGGUGAAGUGUACUACUUGGAUAACCGUAGUAAUUCUAGGGCUAAUACAUGAGAAAGUCCUCUGGUGAGGUGUGUUUAUUAGAAUGAAAACCAUAUGCUUCGGCAUGAUAGUGAGUAAUAGUAACCUAUCGUAUCGCAUGCUUAAUGUAGCGAUGAGUCUUUCAAGUUUCUGCCCUAUCAGCUUACGAUGGUAGUAUAUGGGCCUACCAUGGCAGUAACGGGUAACGAAUAA
rnacentral:rRNA from 1 species